AGUCGAGCGACUGAUUAGAAGCUUGCUUCUAUGACGUUAGSGGCGGACGGGUGAGUAACACGUGGGCRACCUGCCUGUAAGACUGGGAUAACUUCGGGAAACCGAAGCUAAUACCGGAUAGGAUCUUCUCCUUCAUGGGAGAUGAUUGAAAGAUGGUUUCGGCUAUCACUUACAGAUGGGCCCGCGGKGCAUUAGCUAGUUGGUGAGGUAACGGCUCACCAAGGSAACGAUGCAUAGCCGACCUGAGAGGGUGAUCGGCCACACUGGGACUGAGACACGGCCCAGACUCCUACGGGAGGCAGCAGUAGGGAAUCUUCCGCAAUGGACGAAAGUCUGACGGAGCAACGCCGCGUGAGUGAUGAAGGCUUUCGGGUCGUAAAACUCUGUUGUUAGGGAAGAACAAGUACAAGAGUAACUGCUUGUACCUUGACGGUACCUAACCAGAAAGCCACGGCUAACUACGUGCCAGCAGCCGCGGUAAUACGUAGGUGGCAAGCGUUAUCCGGAAUUAUUGGGCGUAAAGCGCGCGCAGGCGGUUUCUUAAGUCUGAUGUGAAAGCCCACGGCUCAACCGUGGAGGGUCAUUGGAAACUGGGGAACUUGAGUGCAGAAGAGAAAAGCGGAAUUCCACGUGUAGCGGUGAAAUGCGUAGAGAUGUGGAGGAACACCAGUGGC
rnacentral:rRNA from 2 species